CCUACGGGGGGCUGCAGUGAGGAAUAUUGGUCAAUGGACGAGAGUCUGAACCAGCCAAGUAGCGUGAAGGAUGACUGCCCUAUGGGUUGUAAACUUCUUUUAUAAAGGAAUAAAACGAGGCACGUGUGCCUUUUUGCAUGUACUUUAUGAAUAAGGAUCGGCUAACUCCGUGCCAGCAGCCGCGGUAAUACGGAGGAUCCGAGCGUUAUCCGGAUUUAUUGGGUUUAAAGGGUGCGCAGGCGGAGGCACAAGUCAGCGGUAAAAUUGAGGGGCUAAACCCCGCCCCGCCGUUGAAACUGUGUCCCUUGAGUGCGCGAAGGGUAGGCGGAAUGCGUGGUGUAGCGGUGAAAUGCAUAGAUAUCACGCAGAACUCCGAUCGCGAAGGCAGCCUACCGGCGCGCAACUGACGCUCAUGCACGAAAGCGUGGGUAUCGAACAGGAUUAGAUACCCUUGUAGUC
rnacentral:rRNA from 1 species